rnacentral:rRNA from 1 species
CCUACGGGAGGCAGCAGUGGGGAAUAUUGGACAAUGGGGGCAACCCUGAUCCAGCCAUGCCGCGUGUGUGAAGAAGGCCCUCGGGAUGUAAAGCACUUUCAGUGAGGAAGAACGCCUGGUGGUUAAUACCCAUCAGGAAAGACAUCACUCACAGAAGAAGCACCGGCUAACUCCGUGCCAGCAGCCGCGGUAAUACGGAGGGUGCGAGCGUUAAUCGGAAUUACUGGGCGUAAAGCGCGCGUAGGUGGCUUGAUAAGCCGGUUGUGAAAGCCCCGGGCUCAACCUGGGAACGGCAUCCGGAACUGUCAAGCUAGAGUGCAGGAGAGGAAGGUAGAAUUCCCGGUGUAGCGGUGAAAUGCGUAGAGAUCGGGAGGAAUACCAGUGGCGAAGGCGGCCUUCUGGACUGACACUGACACUGAGGUGCGAAAGCGUGGGUAGCAAACAGGAUUAGAUACCCUGGUAGUC